AUGAACGCUGGCGGCGUGCCUAAUACAUGCCAGUCGAGCGAACAGACGAGGAGCUUGCUCCUCUGACGUUAGCGGCGGACGGGUGAGUAACACGUGGAUAACCUACCUAUAAGACUGGGAUAACUUCGGGAAACCGGAGCUAAUACCGGAUAAUAUAUUGAACCGCAUGGUUCAAUAGUGAAAGACGGUUUUGCUGUCACUUAUAGCUGGAUCCGCGCCGCAUUAGCUAGUUGGUAAGGUAACGGCUUACCAAGGCGACGAUGCGUAGCCGACCUGAGAGGGUGAUCGGCCACACUGGAACUGAGACACGGUCCAGACUCCUACGGGAGGCAGCAGUAGGGAAUCUUCCGCAAUGGGCGAAAGCCUGACGGAGCAACGCCGCGUGAGUGAUGAAGGUCUUCGGAUCGUAAAACUCUGUUAUUAGGGAAGAACAAAUGUGUAAGUAACUAUGCACGUCUUGACGGUACCUAAUCAGAAAGCCACGGCUAACUACGUG
rnacentral:rRNA from 1 species